UACGUAGGGUCCAAGCGUUGUCCGGAAUUAUUGGGCGUAAAGAGCUCGUAGGCGGUCCGUUAAGUCGGAAGUGAAAUCUCAAGGCUCAACCUUGAAAUCGCUCUCGAUACUGGCGGACUUGAGGCAGGUAGGGGAAGGUGGAAUUCCUGGUGUAGCGGUGAAAUGCGCAGAUAUCAGGAGGAACACCGGUGGCGAAGGCGGCAUCCUGGACCAUUACUGACACUGAAAAGCGAAAGCCAGGGGAGCAAACGGG
rnacentral:rRNA from 1 species